rnacentral:rRNA from 1 species
UAAUACAGAGGGGGCAAGCGUUGUCCGGAUUUACUGGGCGUAAAGGGUACGUAGGCGGUUGCUUAGGUGGGAUGUAACAUCUCCUGGCUUAACUGGGAGCGGCCGUUCCAAACCAGGCAACUCGAGAGGUGCAGAGGUCGGUGGAAUUGCCAGUGUAGCAGUGAAAUGCGUAGAGAUUGGCAGGAACACCAAGGGCGCAGGCAGCCGACUGGGCACAAUCUGACGCUGAGGUACGACAGCGUGGGGAGCGAACCGGAUUAGAUACCCGGGUAGUCCACGCCGUAAACGAUGUAUGCUCGCCCCGUGGCCGGUAUCCAAACGGCUGGGGGGCUCAGUCAACACACAAGCAUACCGCCUGGGAACUACGAGCGCAAGCUUAAAACUCAAAGGAAUUGACGG